rnacentral:tRNA from 1 species
ACCGAAAUAGCUCAAUUGGGGGAGCGUUAGACUAUAGAUCGAAAAGUCCCUGGUUCAAACCCGGGUUCCGGCA